rnacentral:rRNA from 1 species
UACGGAGGGAGCUAGCGUUGUUCGGAAUUACUGGGCGUAAAGCGCGCGUAGGCGGCUUUGUAAGUUAGAGGUGAAAGCCCGGGGCUCAACCCCGGAACUGCCUUUAAGACUGCAUCGCUUGAAUCCAGGAGAGGUGAGUGGAAUUCCGAGUGUAGAGGUGAGAUUCGUAGAUAUUCGGAAGAACACCAGAAGCGAAGGCGGCUCACUGGCCCGAGACGUGACGCUGAGGCGCGAAAGCGUGGGGAGCAACAGGG